GACAUACUAAGAACUUUCCAGAGAUGGAUUGGUGCCUUCGGGAACUUAGAUACAGGUGCUGCAUGGCUGUCGUCAGCUCGUGUCGUGAGAUGUUGGGUUAAGUCCCGCAACGAGCCGCAACCCUUUUCCUUAUUUGCCAGCGGGUUAAGCCGGGAACUUUAAGGAUACUGCCAGUGACAAACUGGAGGAAGGCGGGGACGACGUCAAGUCAUCAUGGCCCUUACGGCCAGGGCUACACACGUGCUACAAUGGUCGGUACAAAGGGUUGCUACCUCGCGAGAGGAUGCUAAUCUCAAAAAGCCGAUCGUAGUCCGGAUCGCAGUCUGCAACUCGACUGCGUGAAGUCGGAAUCGCUAGUAAUCGCGGAUCAGAAUGCCGCGGUGAAUACGUUCCCGGGCCUUGUACACACCGCCCGUCACACCAUGGGAGUUUGUUGCACCAGAAGUAGGUAGUCUAACCGCAAGGAGGACGCUUACCACGGUGUGGCCGAUGACUGGGGUGAAGUCGUAACAAGGUAGGCGUAGAUGA
rnacentral:rRNA from 1 species